GUGAUAAAGGCAGUGGAGGAGAACUACAGGCUGCCCCCAAAUUUGAGGAGAUUGUCAGCUUACUGGACAAACUCAUCCGCAAUCCCAGCAGCCUGAAGGGUCUAGUUAACCCAUCGAACAGAGUGUCCAAUUUAUUAGUGGAGCAUGGGAGCCCCGAGGGCUGUGUAUUCAGAUCGGUGGAGGAAUGGUUAGAGGCCAUAAAAAUGGGUCGAUACACUGAGCUUUUCAUGGAAAGUGGAUACACUUCUCUGGAAGUCGUCACUCAAAUGACCUUGGAAGAUCUUAGGAGGGUUGGAGUCACUUUGGCCGGCCAUCAGAAAAAGAUCCUCAACAGUAUUCAGGAGAUGCGAGUCCAAAUGAUGAACGCCACUAUGCCCAUCUGAGAUCGGCCUCAGAGGAACCUCCAGCAGUAGCCUAGCACUUUCUACAGACACUUAUUUAUUGAACGGAACUAUUUAAUGAAAAAAUUGACACUGACGAAAAAAAAAAUUGAAUAAAAUGGUUGGAUAGAUGGACAAACGGUUACUGUUUCGUUUGUGCAAAGCCUCCAAACUAAAGUGACAGGAGGAACAUGACUGAAAUGUUGAGUGGUUGUUUGGAAAAGUGUGGCACAUCUCCAGGUAGGACUACUGACUUGGGAUCAGAUGUCUCUGGGCUGAAUGUAUACCAUUUUUCCAUGACCUCAUUCAACAAUAUUAUUACCUCCGGAAGAGACUGCAGUCGGUUUAAGCUUGGAUUGUUUUUUUUUUGGUUGUUUUUCUUUCGCCCACAAGUUCACCUGAGGCAAAUUCAGACAGUAAGACUGAAGUCAUAUCACGAGCUGAGGAAAUGUAUGGCAGUGUUAAACAAAGCAAUAGUAGAUUCCAAGCUUGAUGUUGAUUUUACUUCUUUUUUAAAUUGUUGCUUCCUUGUUUUAAUAAGAGGACAAAGCAAUGGACUGGAUCGUUUUCCUUUUGCACAAUAUCUGUGUCGUGAAGGGAGGAGGAAAUGUAUUUGUCUUUAAAAAUGUGACACGUUUCAAAACCACAAAUUUAUUUUAGUUCCGAGUUUUGGUGUUUUAUGUGUAAAUAGUGUACAGUUGCGUAGUUGAAGUGGAGCUCAAAUGCAUCCAUCCAUGUUCAUGUGAGGUUGAUAUACUUUAGUGCACAGGUGGGCUAACAUACUAUGUAUAUUCAGUCCGGUCAAUAAAUGUUUAUAUUGGCUCUCAGUGCUUCUUUAGAUAGAAAAUGAACAAUUGUUUUACCAUUGAUGUGUGAUCUCUACUGUAUUUUGCUACCCAUAUUAUUGCUACCCGUGCUCAGUUUUCACAGCUAGGUGGAUAUUAAAGUCAACAUGAAAUCACAAUGGACCCUAUUUUUUCUUUCCUAGUUCAGAUUUUGGGUUUUAUUGUGCACUUUCUUUCCUAAUUCAGAUUUUGGGUUUUAUUGUGCACAAAUUAUAAUUGUUUUCUGUAAAAAAAAAAAAAAAAAAAAACUUUCUUUUUGCCUGAUGUUAGCUAGGCUGCAAAAAUAUCUAUUUAGGUGACAAGAGCAGAUAACAAUACAUUUGGAUACAGUGAAAUAUGUCUCAUUCUAGAAGUAAAAUGGGUUGUGAAUAUAAUUUCAUGUUGGCUUUAAGUUGGUUCAAUAUGUCAUAAUCACUGAAAAUAAGUUAAAAUUCUACAUGCCACAUCUGUCGGUUACUGUAGACAAUAAUUUUGACUCGUCCCUCAGUGUACAGACAAGCACUGAAUUGUGUAUAUUUACAGUAAAUAGACAGAUAGGCCAGGAACAUAACAGGAGUAUUUCAUCCCAAAAAAUUUAAUUUGUAAUACAUUUACUCAUCUUUAGGCCAUAAAAUUUGCAAAUGAGUUUGUUUCCUCAUGAGAUUUGUAGAACUGUAUCAUUACAUCACUGUCUCACCAAUGGAUCCUCUGCAGUGAAUGGGUGCCGUCAGAAUGAGUGUCUAAACACUGAUAAAAACUUCACAAUAUACACAAGUAAUCCACACCACCCUAGUCCACCAAUUAAUGUCUUGUGAAGCCAAAAGCUGUGUGUUUGUAAGAAACAAAUCCAUCAUUAAGACCAUGUCUUACAUUAAUUUUUUUUUUUUUUUUUUUUUUUUUUUUGCAUCCAGGAGAAAAAUCUGCAUGGAUCAAGCACCGUUUACAAGUCAAAAUAGUCCAAAACAGCUUUAAACAUAUGUGGGUGGAUUUUAAUGUGAAAGACAAUAGAGAUGGACUUUUUCACUGGAGGAAGCAUUAUUAUGAAUUAUAGAGUCAUAUUUUCAUCAGAAGUAACAGUUCACAAGACAUUAAUUAUUGUUCUGAUGUGUUUAUCAGCUGUUUGGACUCUCAUACUGAUGGCACCCAUUCACUGCAGAAGAUCCAUUGUUGAGCAAGUGAUGUGAUGCUACAUUUCUGCAAAUCUGUUGAAAAAAACAAACUGAUCUAGAUCUUGGAUGUGCUAAGGAUGAGGACAUUCUCAGCAAAUUUUUAUUUUUGGGUGAAUUAUUCCUUUAAAAUCUCUUAUUAUUGUAAAGAACGUUUCAAGUUGGACAGCUUAUCAUCAUAAUGACACAUUUUACAGCGCAUCAGCAAAAGCAUUGCACAUAGUAGAUGACAAUAAUGUAGUAGCUCAAGAAGUCAGAAAAAAAAGACCAAGACAACUGAAAACAAUUAGACAUAGCUAGGCUACUACAUUACAUUACAUUACAUGCCAAUGUUUUCUAGUUGUCUUGGUCUUUUUUUCCGACUUCUCGAGUACCAGAAGUAGUAGUGUUUUAUUGUCUCCCAAUCCCAUUGUCUUCCAUUUUAUAUGUGCACUGAGGUACAAGUUGAAAUGAUUGUCUGUGGUAAUCAAAAACAUGCCACACAUGCAUUAUAGAUACUACUUUAUAGGUUUCAUAAUAAAAGAAAAUGUUGAAUGUUAAGACUCAUAGUCAGAAUCAAAUAAUUCAAAACCAAAUUCCAGACAUUAGGUCAUUUCAACCCAUAUUUUAGGUCCAUAUUUAUUACAGCACAUUAUUAUGCUAUUAAAACUACUGAACGGCCACAAGAUUGUAUUAAUAAGUGCUCAAGUAUGUCACAUAUUUUCUUAAAACCUCAUAAAAUUGCUUAUAAUUAUGGUCAGUAUUAGUAUUUUCAAGAAGUCCAGUCUGCUAGAUUUUUUUCGACACUUUUAUUUCUUGAAAUUUGAUUUUAGCAACAUAAUGUUCCUUAAUUAGUCAACUGAAAAGUACUCAGGUGCCUGUGAUUAUGUGAGUACAUUAUGAAGAUAUCAUUGAGGAGCUAAUCAAAGGUUUAUUGAUCAUAGUUAAUAAUAGUCAAAAAUCUUAAUGGCAGAUAGUUACAAAUGUUCAGUUAAUCUGAAUCAGCAUUGUAUUUUUUUUUUUUUUUUUUUUUUAAUUGAGUACUGAGUAUUUGAUAUUUGUUGCAAAGAAUGUUACUAUAAUAUGCUUAGAACUUUUACGCAAUGCAGUUACCCUUCAGUUGGUAUUUUGCACUGAAAUUCACUUUGUAAAAAAUGGGCUUAAGUUUGAAUUUAUACAUCUGUUUUAACCCCAUUUUAUUUUCAAAAUAAUAUUGUAGACUGAAAAACAUUUAAUGCGACCAACCCACACACCAUGCUUUAAUACUGCAAAAUCCUUGAGCGUUUUCAGAUUUGUGGCUGUUGUUUAUUGUAGUGAUAUUUGUUCAUAACCAUUGACCAUAUCUGCCCGAAUGAAAAGCCAGUUUGAAUAUGUUUUACAAGCAUGUUUGAUUUAUUAUCAGGCUGUUUACUUAGAAUAUGUAAAUCUGGAUGACUUUAAGUUAUAGUCCUAAACAUAGAAGAGUUAUGCCUUUCGUUUGACAUUUAUGAUUGUGGUUACACAAAAUACAUCUAUUUCACACACGUAAAUGUCAAAUGUAGCUACAAUUAAGAACCUUUCUGGUUAGUACGGUGAUUCAGAAUAACAGCAAGCACAAGGUAACACAAUAUAUCCUUAUAUAGCCUACCACCCUGCAAAAACAUCUAAAAACAUUAUGCUGAUUACAUUGAUUUUUGCACGAAACACUGUAUUGAGUGCAUCAAAUUAUUUCCA
rnacentral:lncRNA from 1 species